UGCUGGGUAUCUUCAGUGACAUCUCCACCAACCCCAUUGCGAAGUUGCUGCUGCUGCUGCGGGGGUGGGGACUGACGGAGGAAGCAUUGGCACAAGCAUUCAAGUACAAUCACUCCAGAGACGGCGGAGAGUGAGACAGUGGAUGCAGACGUGUGAACGGAUCGCGGACAGGAGUUUGGUUAGGAAUACUGCCUCAUCGAUCUCUGGUGGCAAUGUGAGCGGAAACAAGGAGGCGGUAAGAGUUGACAUCGGCGGUUUGAAGAGUUGUAUAAUUAAGCACCGAGGAAAGUGACAGGUUGGGUACUGGAAGGGCAAUCUCACAGGAACCUUGGGUAGACAAAUGAGAUAGAAGGUGUGGCAUUAUUCUUGUAAGGGGAAUUUAGUAUAUAUAACUAGCUGGUGAGAAAAAAAGAAGGGAGAUAUAGUAGAGAGAUCUCUGUGGUUUCCAAAACACUGGGCGUUGAUUUGGAGCGUCGCAAGGGUAAAGAAACCAAACCGGGAAAAAAGGGAAGAAAGAAAGAAAGAAAAAGAAAACAACAAGUAGCUAAUGAUUACAGACCAACACUGCACAAUAAAUCAAAUGAAUAAGUAAAUAAAAGAAAACCUAUGCGAAAGCAACCAAAUCAGAAAUAGAUAGGCAAACGUAUCCGGGG
rnacentral:sRNA from 2 species